GAGAGAGAACUGGCCACUUACUACCUGCAGCAUGCAUUCAAGAAAGAGCAGAAAGGCUGUAGAGGAAAACAAUGGGCAUGCAAGAGAGAGAGGCUGCUUAUUAUUUUGUUCCCUGAACCUAUGCCCUGGUGUAAGAUGUGAACCAACACCUCUUGGAGAGGAGCAACUGGCUGCACAAAGUGUGAUUCUGUUGUCUGAAGAUUGCUGUUUUUUUGUACAUCAUGGCCCUAAAUGCCAGUCAAGGACUUCAGUUGGUGCUCAAAUGAGGAAGCAACAAUAGAGGCCAGCCUGAAGCUGCAAACUUGCUGACUUGUA